rnacentral:rRNA from 1 species
AUUGAACGCUGGCGGCAGGCCUAACACAUGCAAGUCGAACGGUAACAGGAAGCAGCUUGCUGCUUUGCUGACGAGUGGCGGACGGGUGAGUAAUGUCUGGGAAACUGCAUGAUGGAGGGGGAUAACUACUGGAAACGGUAGCUAAUACCGCAUAACGUCGCAAGACCAAAGAGGGGGACCUUAGGGCCUCUUGCCAUCGGAUGUGCCCAGAUGGGAUUAGCUAGUAGGUGGGGUAACGGCUCACCUAGGCGACGAUCCCUAGCUGGUCUGAGAGGAUGACCAGCCACACUGGAACUGAGACACGGUCCAGACUCCUACGGGAGGCAGCAGUGGGGAAUAUUGCACAAUGGGCGCAAGCCUGAUGCAGCCAUGCCGCGUGUAUGAAGAAGGCCUUCGGGUUGUAAAGUACUUUCGUCGGGGAGGAAGGGAGUAAAGUUAAUACCUUGGCUCAUUGACGUUACCCGCAGAAGAAGCACCGGCUAACUCCGUG